UGUGAAUCUAUGUUUGAUGGACCACUCAAAGGAAAUAGGAGAAACAACAGUGCUCAGAUGUUAUAAGCAAGAGAAAAUGUUGGUUCCAACCUGGCCCCUCGGAUUUGCUGACCGCCACCUCCUUAUAAUAUUACAGGCACUAUACUCGUGCUGGAGAAGACCCGGUUGUGUCCCUGCAGGAGCUCUUCAGCAGAUUCAUUCGUACAUUCUGGAGAUGCUGAAUAAUCUUAAACUGAAGCCUGCCAGUUAAUUGUAUAUAAACUGGAUUCAGCUCUUGCUGAGAGGAAGAAUACCACUUUAAAGGAGCUCGAGACAAGAAUAUCAACUUCAACAGUAUCUCAUCACAAAGAAAAAUUUCUUAUUACGGGCCGCCGGAAGGCGGUCCGUUAUUUGAUACACAUUUAAAUAUUGUUACUGCGUUUCUGCGGGAUAGUUCUAUUUUAAUAGAAUUAAUACUAUGCUUAUUUUUAUGAAUUAAUAGUAAAUUUGCAUGUAGAAAUAUGUUUUGUGCCUUUUAGAAAAUAUCACGUAUUUUUUGUUUUACUCGUAAAUGAAAAGUAAGUCAUACUUAGUAGAUUGUCGUAUUUGGCGCGUUUUUAUCGAGACUAUAAUCUAUUCGGAAAAUUUCGGAGUUCUUCAUUCUUUUCAAAACAAUGCAUCAGGAUCGGUAUGCGGGACAUACUAAAGACCUGAAAUACUAAAGACCUGAAUGUCAUUAAAUUUUAUAUAAAUGAUAUUUUUGAAUUUCUAUGUGCCGUGUCAAAUAAAAUGACUUUGCGUGUGUAUUUAUUAUCUUUCCAUGUAAAAUGUUGUAGAAAAUAUCAUGAAAUGACAUUUAAUUUUAUAUCAAUUAUUUACGCAAGAAUAUGACAGAAAUGAAAAUUUGAAUUGAUUGGAAAAUUUGAACUAAUCCAUUUUAUUUUAUUAUGAGGUCCCUUAAAAUCAUACGUUAAACUAAUGCAUUAAGUUUACAUUCAAUACAAUGCAACAACGAAAAAACCAAAAUGGUUUGAAAUAUAUAAUCUCUAAGAGAAAUAUGAUGAGUUGAACUUUGUAUUAGAGUAAUGUACAAAUCAUGCAAUGUGUUCUCCAUUACUUCAUACUAUGGCAAUGAUCAUACAAUUUCCGUUAGAAAUGCUUACAGUAACGAAAUCGAUUCUUUAUGAUAAUAGUAAAAUGUUAAACUCUUCAAAACAAGUUGCUGAAAGUAUAUUAAAAUUUACCAUAAAGAUUAGUACAACCAACUCUUAUUUUCUUCUUCAUGGUGUGUUUUUAUGUUAACAUUAAUGAUUCAUACAACAAUUAUAUUUUUGCGGCCCAUUUGACGCUUGCGUCAAUUUGAUUUCUUGUCUUAUCUGAAUAGCAUUCAAAAUCAGAUAAGUAUGGUUGAGGCAUUGC